GAUCCUGGCUCAGGACGAACGCUGGCGGCGUGCCUAAUACAUGCAAGUAGAACGCUGAAGGAAGGAGCUUGCUCUUUCCGGAUGAGUUGCGAACGGGUGAGUAACGCGUAGGUAACCUGCCUGGUAGCGGGGGAUAACUAUUGGAAACGAUAGCUAAUACCGCAUAACAGUAGAUAUCGUAUGAUAUGUGCUUGAAAGGUGCAAUUGCAUCACUACCAGAUGG
rnacentral:rRNA from 1 species